rnacentral:rRNA from 1 species
AAUGAACGCUGGCGGCAUGCCUUACACAUGCAAGUCGAACGGCAGCAUGACCUAGCUUGCUAGGUUGAUGGCGAGUGGCGAACGGGUGAGUCAUGCAUCGGAACGUGCCUUUUAGUGGGGGAUAACGUAGCGAAAGUUACGCUAAUACCGCAUAUUCUCUGAGGAGGAAAGCAGGGGACCUUCGGGCCUUGCGCUAGAAGAGCGGCCGAUGUCGGAUUAGCUAGUUGGUGAGGUAAAGGCUCACCAAGGCACCGAUCCGUAGCGGGUCUGAGAGGAUGAUCCGCCACACUGGGACUGAGACAAGGCCCAGACUCCUACGGGAGGCAGCAGUGGGGAAUUUUGGACAAUGGGCGCAAGCCUGAUCCAGCCAUGCCGCGUGAGUGAAGAAGGCCUUCGGGUUGUAAAGCUCUUUCGGCUGGGAAGAAAUCGCACCCUCUAAUACAGGGUGUGGAUGACGGUACCAGCAGAAGAAGCACCGGCUAACUACGUG